GCUGACCACAGUAACAUGAGCUUCUCAGAAUGCGUGGAGCAGUGCACUAGGACCUUGCAGGCAGAAGGGAGAUCUAAAAAAAGGAAGGAGUAAUAACCAGGAGGGAGGAUUCAGAAGACUUUCCAAUCAGAGUUCCAUCCAUUCUUGGCAAAGGUUGCAUGAUCCAGAUGAAGACUGCAGCUUUUUGCAAAGACCCCUUUUCAAGACAACAGUUGGCAGUGGGACUUUCUCAAUCUCUGAAAAAGAAAAUGGAGAUGCCUUUUUUUUUUAAGCCAGCCACCUUUUAGUAUGUGCAAUUUAUUUAGCACUUUUCCCUUUGCUUAACUGGGAAAUGUUAUGCUCUCGGCUCAUAUUGUACAGUCAUUUUGUUGUUGUUGUAGCUGUUGUGCCAAAGACUCGAUGGAGCUUCUACACUGUGUCUAGUUUUGCCUUAAAUGUUAAAUCCUUGAGCCAAAGAAAACUCAGAAAUUCCAUUUAGGUAAUGUUGAGUGGGCCAGUUCAAUCAGUGACAAAUCUGAAUUUCUGAAUCCUUCUCUAAAAGUUUCCUCUUUUCUUUCUCCUGUUCAUAUCUAUCUACUUGCAGCCCUGGAACCAGCAUUCACAGCCGGAAAAAGCCAGGACACACCAACACUUGCUCCAGAGUUGAUCUCUCUUUCUUUCAGCGAUUUCAUUGUUCUACUUCUUUGGCAAUUACCUGGUUUUCUUCCUGCUGGGAAACAUGUGCAUAGGGUAGAAAUAGUGACACAAAGUGAGAGCUGAAACCAGAUCUAUGCUUUUUAAAUAUAAAUAUAUCAAUAAAUAAAAAGUGCCACGUAAAGCAAUAAAAAAAAAUCAGUAAGACAGUUCAGAUAGGCAGCAUGGUGUUUAGCAAAACAAUUCAGUAGUUGUUUCCUUCAGUUUUGAGAAGUCAUUUUUGGCUGGUUUUUUUUUAAGUAGUUAAAAACCCAUGUAAUGCAAAGGCAUUUGAAUCCUAUACUGUAUUUUUCGCUUCAAAUUGAAGUAAAAAAAUUAAGAACCAUUUGCUUGGAGUAAGCAAACUUUAUAGGUAAUGCAGUUCAUAUGCAAGACAUCUGCUAGUGGUGGAGGACAGAAUUCAGUGUCAGACUAAAAGAAUAUGGGUUUGUAAAGAAAGGAGAUUAACCUGUUUCAUUUUCACUUAAGGAUAAAGGUUAUACCUCAGGGGACAGAUUCAGAUCUCAGUUACACUAGUGUAAAUCAGGUUUACUUACGCUUGAUUUACUCCAGUGUAACAGAUCUUAAUCUGGCCCUGUGUGUAUAUGUCUGGAGUUGCAUGGGGGAGGGGAGGCUCUUCAUUAUAUGAACAUGUAACUCUUAGCAACCUCAGCAGGAAUUAAGCAUGUGUGCAGAGGGGAGAUCAGACUGUGUGCUACUAAACCAUUGACCUGAUAUCAAUACAAAAUCCUGAACUCA